rnacentral:rRNA from 1 species
AUUGAACGCUGGCGGCAGGCCUAACACAUGCAAGUCGACCGAGUGGCGGACGGGUGAGUCAUGUCUGGGAAACUGCCUGAUGUAGGGGGAUCACUACUGGCAACGGUAGCUAAUCCCGCCUACCAUCAGAUGUGCCCAGAUGGGAUUAGCUAGUGGGUGGGUUAACGGCUCACCAAGGCUACGAUGCCUAGCUGGUCUGAGAGGAUGACCAGCCAGACUGGGACUGAGACACGGUCCAGACGCCUACGUGAGGCAGCAGUGGGGAAAAUUGCACAAUGGUCGCGAGCCUGAUGCAGCCAUGCCGCGUGUAGGAAGAAGGCCUGUGGGUUGUAAAGUGCGUUCAGCGGGGAGGCGUUACCCGCAGAAGAAGCACCGGCUAACUCCGUGCCAGCCGCCGCGGUAAUAC